GACGACGCUGGCGGCAGGCCUAACACAUGCAAGUCGAACGAGUGGCGGACGGGUGAGUAAUGUCUGGGAAACUGCCUGAUGGUGGGGGAUAACUACUGGAAAAGGUAGCUAAUACCGCAUACUAUCAGAUGAGCCUAGGUCGGAUUAGCUAGUUGGUGGGGUAAAGGACGACCAAGGCGACGAUCCGUAACUGGUCUGAGAGGAUGAUCAGUCACACUGGAACGGAGACACGGUCCAGAUUCAUACGGUAGGCGACAGUGGGGAAUGUUGGACAAUGGGCGAGAGCCUGAGUCAGCCAUGCCGCGUGUAUGAAGAGGGCCUUCGGGUUGUAAAGUACUUUCAGCGGGGAGGCGUUACCAGAAGAAGAAGCACCGGCUAACUCCGUGCCAGCAGCGGCGGUAAUAC
rnacentral:rRNA from 1 species